GGGAGUGGAUGGGGUCUGGUGGCCCCCCGGGACUUCAAAUCCUUGUGUCGGGCGCGUACAACCGUCCGAGGUGGGUUCGAUUCCCACACAUUCCCGCCA
rnacentral:tRNA from 1 species